UCUGCAUCCCCCUCAUUGUUUUCUUUUUCUGCCAGUAAAUCACUGGUAUUAAUUAAUAGGAUUUGGUUUUGAUUUUUUUCCACACAACUGUUUGUACAUAUCUGGAGGCUCAACUGUUAAUGCAAAAGAAAUUUCCUCAAACAUUUUCAGACCAGAGACCAGACGACAGAAAUCAUGACUUAUUCAUCUUUGCAUUCUGAGUACCCAGAGCAGAUUCUCCAUGUGUUCAUCAUAUAAAUUAAUGAGUUUCCUUGCUCCACCUCCUUUUACCACCAGAAAACCUAUUUCUUUAACAAAUAUUUAUUAAUUAUCUCUAUUUGUCAGGUGCUGAGUCAGGCAGUAAGAGUGAGCAAGAGAGACACGACCCUGUUUUGGCAGAGUUUGCAGCCCAGGAAGAAAGACAGUAAUUAAAGCAGGCGUUAUGAUCUCAUCACAGUAUGGGAGAAUCCAUGAGAAAGAACACAAACCAGUCUUCAUGUGACCAUGCAGACUUCCAGGAGCGUUUGCAAAGCCAUUAGGAUCACUUCCUGCCAGGGAACUUGAGGUUCCUUUUUUAAAAGAACCAGCAUGUGUACAAGAGGAAACAGUGUCUAAAUCUAGCUGCCUCAGGUCAAGGAACUCCCUUCGUAUGGGAAAGGUGUAUCCUGUGGUACCUUAGGUCCUGUUAAAAGUGUCACAGAAAUGAAACUAAAUCCCAGAGAGAUAAAGAGACUCACCUAAGGACACACAGCCAACCAAUAACCUCAGUGCCAAGAGACUCUUAAUUCCCAACUUCCACCUCCCUGCCCUGCUGGGUUAGGGCAGCUCUGACUGCUGCUGGGACUGUGACACUGGUGGUGAGACUCUGCAUAUUAAAACAGUGUGGAGAGAGAAGAGGAAUGGUCAAUGAGCUCAGGAGGGUGUGGUGUCUUCGGCAAAGACACGAAUAAAUCACUAAGAAACGGAAACAGAAUUCAGCCCCAGUACAUAGAACUGAAAACUAAAAAAACUAAACACAAACAAAUAAGCAAGGAAGUGUGUGUGUGUGUGUGUGUGUG